AAGGUUUGUUCAUGAGCUGUCAUGCUUGCUAGGCGAAGCCCACGUGUUUUGAAAAAAAAAACGAAAAAAAAAACGAAAAACGAAAAAAAAUAAUAAAAAUAAAUAAAUAAAUAAAAGAAAAAAUCUUGGACUUGGACCUCUCUCAUUUGAGCCCACAGGUCCACAAAAAUCAGGUUAUAAAUUCAGAGUUUCAGUGAAACAAAAGGAAUUCUAUUC
rnacentral:lncRNA from 1 species